rnacentral:rRNA from 1 species
AGGGUUCGAUUCUGGCUCAGGAUGAACGCUGGCGGCGUGCCUAACACAUGCAAGUCGAGCGGAGUUAUGAGAGGUGCUUGCACCACUUUAACUUAGCGGCGGACGGGUGAGUAACACGUGAGUAACCUGCCCUCGAGUGGGGAACAACAUCGAGAAAUCGGUGCUAAUACCGCAUAAUAUCUCUUUACCGCAUGAUAGAGAGAUCAAAGGAUUUAUUCGCUUGAGGAUGGACUCGCGUCCGAUUAGUUAGUUGGUGAGGUAACGGCCCACCAAGACAUCGAUCGGUAGCCGAACUGAGAGGUUGAUCGGCCACAUUGGGACUGAGACACGGCCCAGACUCCUACGGGAGGCAGCAGUGGGGAAUAUUGGGCAAUGGGCGAAAGCCUGAACCCCCAGCAACGCCGCGUGAAGGAUGAAGGUCUUCGGAUUGUAAACUUCUUUGAUCAGGGACGAAACAAAUGACGGUACCUGAAGAACAAGCCACGGCUAACUACGUGCCAGCCGCGGC